rnacentral:rRNA from 2 species
UGCUGGAGGUAUCAGAAGUGCGAAUGCUGACAUAAGUAACGAUAAAGCGGGUGAAAAGCCCGCUCGCCGGAAGACCAAGGGUUCCUGUCCAACGUUAAUCGGGGCAGGGUGAGUCGACCCCUAAGGCGAGGCCGAAAGGCGUAGUCGAUGGGAAACGGGUUAAUAUUCCCGUACUUGGUGUUACUGCGAAGGGGGGACGGAGAAGGCUAUGUUGGCCGGGCGACGGUUGUCCCGGUUUAAGCGUGUAGGUGUGUGUUCCAGGUAAAUCCGGUUCACUUUAACACUGAGGCGUGACGACGAGGCACUACGGUGCUGAAGCAACAAAUGCCCUGCUUCCAGGAAAAGCCUCUAAGCAUCAGGUAACAUCAAAUCGUACCCCAAACCGACACAGGUGGUCAGGUAGAGAAUACCAAGGCGCUUGAGAGAACUCGGGUGAAGGAACUAGGCAAAAUGGUGCCGUAACUUCGGGAGAAGGCACGCUGACAUGUAGGUGAAGUGAUUUACUCAUGGAGCUGAAGUCAGUCGAAGAUACCAGCUGGCUGCAACUGUUUAUUAAAAACACAGCACUGUGCAAACACGAAAGUGGACGUAUACGGUGUGACGCCUGCCCGGUGCCGGAAGGUUAAUUGAUGGGGUCAGCGCAAGCGAAGCUCCUGAUCGAAGCCCCGGUAAACGGCGGCCGUAACUAUAACGGUCCUAAGGUAGCGAAAUUCCUUGUCGGGUAAGUUCCGACCUGCACGAAUGGCGUAAUGAUGGCCAGGCUGUCUCCACCCGAGACUCAGUGAAAUUGAACUCGCUGUGAAGAUGCAGUGUACCCGCGGCAAGACGGAAAGACCCCGUGAACCUUUACUAUAGCUUGACACUGAACAUUGAGCCUUGAUGUGUAGGAUAGGUGGGAGGCUUUGAAGUGUGGACGCCAGUCUGCAUGGAGCCGACCUUGAAAUACCACCCUUUAAUGUUUGAUGUUCUAACGUGGACCCGUAAUCCGGGUUGCGGACAGUGUCUGGUGGGUAGUUUGACUGGGGCGGUCUCCUCCUAAAGAGUAACGGAGGAGCACGAAGGUUGGCUAAUCCUGGUCGGACAUCAGGAGGUUAGUGCAAUGGCAUAAGCCAGCUUGACUGCGAGCGUGACGGCGCGAGCAGGUGCGAAAGCAGGUCAUAGUGAUCCGGUGGUUCUGAAUGGAAGGGCCAUCGCUCAACGGAUAAAAGGUACUCCGGGGAUAACAGGCUGAUACCGCCCAAGAGUUCAUAUCGACGGCGGUGUUUGGCACCUCGAUGUCGGCUCAUCACAUCCUGGGGCUGAAGUAGGUCCCAAGGGUAUGGCUGUUCGCCAUUUAAAGUGGUACGCGAGCUGGGUUUAGAACGUCGUGAGACAGUUCGGUCCCUAUCUGCCGUGGGCGCUGGAGAACUGAGGGGGGCUGCUCCUAGUACGAGAGGACCGGAGUGGACGCAUCACUGGUGUUCGGGUUGUCAUGCCAAUGGCACUGCCCGGUAGCUAAAUGCGGAAGAGAUAAGUGCUGAAAGCAUCUAAGCACGAAACUUGCCCCGAGAUGAGUUCUCCCUGAGACUUAAAGUCUCCUGAAGGAACGUUGAAGACGACGACGUUGAUAGGCCGGGUGUGUAAGCGCAGCGAUGCGUUGAGCUAACCGGUACUAAUGAACCGUGAGGCUUAACCUU